CAAGUUAAAUCUGAAUUUCAGAUGAACAACAGAUACAUUCUAAUAUAAAUAUGCCACAUUUAAUUUUUGGGACAUGCUUAUUCUAAAGAAAAUUAUUCAUUGCUUAUCUGAAACUCAAAUUUCACUGGGCACCCUGU
rnacentral:miRNA from 1 species